CGACGAGCCAAGCUCGUACAAGUGCCUCGUCGUCUCUUGUACGAGUUCACUCGACCUCCCAAUUCAUAUAUCACGGAUUUGAUCGAAUAAUGAAUCAGCCUCUAUAAUAACCAAUAAAGAGAAAUUGUGAUAAUCGAUAUAUGUUUGACCGUUGUAGUAGUCGAUUAUAUUUCGCGAUCAAUGAUAAAUUUCCGUUUUAUAAAUUUACAAAUAAACAGAGGUUCGCGCAUAUGUACACGCGCGUGUGGACGUGGCUGCGUCUGAAUAUGGAUUUCUUGUGGCCAAUAGCUAUGUGGCAAAACGGUUUUUACUUUACAUCCAUAUUUUCUCUCUAUAUACGUCGCACACUCAUAUCUCCAUGUGUAUAAAGCGCCUGGAAUAUGCUAUAACCACGAUAAGACCAUAAGGAGCCGCACGAAUUAUUGGGACGCCCGUUUAUCCUCAGCUGUUCGAUGGACGUGUCCAACGUUGAUAAAAAGGACACGAGGAACGCCGAGAGUAAAAAAAAAAAGACGGAAAUUAGUGGGAGAGUGAGAAACAGGGGGAAGAGGAAAAACCUCUCACAGAGGGCGUUCUUUGAUAUCACUCCUCGCUCCUGCAUAUGCCCGAGUCACCAACACUUUCAUUUCUACAAAAAAAGAAUCACAGAGGGCUUUGUAGCUGACGCGACGAUCGUGGAAUUUGAUUAAUUGGAAUAAUUAUGUCAUCGGUAUUUCAGAGAAAACGGGAUGUUUUACGAUUCGUACUCGAUUCUACUAACUGAUCCAAGAACGAAAGUAAGCGAGAGAGAGAAAAGGGCUUCGAAUGCUACUCGAGUCCACGAUUCUCAAUAAUUUGGUCGAAUUUCCGACAAAUAAAUAAGCAUUUUUACAAUUUUAUGUUUUUAAUCAA